CUGGGAUUAGAUACCCCACUAUGCCCGGCCUCAAACUUUGAUUAAUUACAAUUUUAUUCGCCAGGGGACUACGAGCGUCAGCUUAAAACCCAAAGGACUUGGCGGUGCCCUACACCUCCUAGAGGAGCCUGUUCUGUAAUCGAUAAUCCACGAUAUACCUCACCGUUUCUUGCCAAAACCGCCUAUAUACCGCCGUCUCCAACUUACCCUAUGAAGGAUAUACAGUAAGUUUAAAGAUCACCCAUCAGAACGUCAGGUCAAGGUGUAGCGAAUGAAACGGGAAGAAAUGGGCUACAUUUUCUAUUUUAGAUCACACGGACAAUCAGUAUGAAACCUGAUUAUGAAGGAGGAUUUAGCAGUAAAAAGAAAUCAGCAAGUUCUUUUUAAGUCGGACCUAGGGCGCGUACACACCGCCCGUCACCCU
rnacentral:rRNA from 1 species